rnacentral:rRNA from 1 species
UACGAAGGGGGCUAGCGUUGCUCGGAAUCACUGGGCGUAAAGCGCACGUAGGCGGACUCUUAAGUCGGUGGUGAAAUCCUGGAGCUCAACUCCAGAACUGCCUUCGAUACUGGGAGUCUCGAGUCCGGGAGAGGUGAGUGGAACUGCGAGUGUAGAGGUGAAAUUCGUAGAUAUUCGCAAGAACACCAGUGGCGAAGGCGGCUCACUGGCCCGGUACUGACGCUGAGGUGCGAAAGCGCGGGGAGCAAACAGG